AGGGUUUGAUUAUGGCUCAGGAUGAACGCUGGCGGCGUGCCUAACACAUGCAAGUCGAGCGAAGCACUUAACUUUGAUUCUUUCGGGAUGAAAAGUUUUGUGACUGAGCGGCGGACGGGUGAGUAACGCGUGGGUAACCUGCCUCAUACAGGGGGAUAACAGUUAGAAAUGACUGCUAAUACCGCAUAAGACCACAGCACCGCAUGGUGCAGGGGUAAAAACUGAGGUGGUAUGAGAUGGACCCGCGUCUGAUUAGGUAGUUGGUGAGGUAACGGCUCACCAAGCCGACGAUCAGUAGCCGACCUGAGAGGGUGACCGGCCACAUUGGGACUGAGACACGGCCCAA
rnacentral:rRNA from 1 species